GACGAACGCUGGCGGCGUGCUUAACACAUGCAAGUCGAACGGAAAGGCCCUGCUUUUGUGGGGUGCUCGAGUGGCGGACGGGUGAGUAACACGUGAGUAACCUGCCCUUGACUUUGGGAUAACUUCAGGAAACUGGGGCUAAUACCGGAUAGGAGCUCCUGCUGCAUGGUGGGGGUUGGAAAGUUUCGGCGGUUGGGGAUGGACUCGCGGCUUAUCAGCUUGUUGGUGGGGUAGUGGCUUACCAAGGCUUUGACGGGUAGCCGGCCUGAGAGGGUGACCGGCCACAUUGGGACUGAGAUACGGCCCAGACUCCUACGGGAGGCAGCAGUGGGGAAUAUUGCACAAUGGGCGGAAGCCUGAUGCAGCAACGCCGCGUGCGGGAUGACGGCCUUCGGGUUGUAAACCGCUUUCGCCUGUGACGAAGCGUGAGUGACGGUAAUGGGUAAAGAAGCACCAGCUAACUACGUG
rnacentral:rRNA from 1 species